GUAAUUAAUUAACCAACUGAGAUCCAGUUCAGGGGUGAAAGUUCUUCAGGUACGAGGACGGCAUUGUUGUCAGUCUGGACCGAGCUCGCAGAGCCCCUUCUCGGCGUCCUGGUCCCGGCCCUGCCCGCGGUGUCCCGGGAGGAAGGGGCGGGCCGGGGGUCGGGAGGAGUCACGUGCCCCCUCCCGCCCCAGGUCGUCCUCUCAGCAUGGGGGUCCCGCGGCCUCAACCCUGGGCGCUGGGGCUCCUGCUCUUUCUCCUGCCCGGGAGCCUGGGCGCAGGUGAGGGCCGCUCCGGGCCGGGGCCCUGCUGCAGGCGGGCGGGGGAGGCGGCCCCAGGCAGGCAGGGGCGAAGCCCCCGGGACCCGAGUUCCCCGCGAGUCCCGGGCGCUGCCUUCUCCGCUCAAUUAACUUUCUCAACGUCUCCUGCUGGGCCUGAGGCUGGGAACCACCUGUCGCCUCUUGUGUCUCUGUUUCCCUCUCUCUCUCUGGGUCUCUGUCCCCCCCACCCCCGGGUCUCUGUCCCCUCUCUCUGAAUCUGUCCCCCUCCCUCCAUAAUAGAUUCUUCUCCCUCCCUGGGUAUCUGUCCCACUGCAGUCUAGUUCCCCGCCCGUGUGCUCCCUUCAGCUCUGUCUCUGUCUGCAGAAAGCCACCUCUCCCUCCUGUACCACCUCACCGCGGUGUCCUCGCCUGCCCCGGGGACUCCUGCCUUCUGGGUGUCUGGCUGGCUGGGCCCGCAGCAGUACCUGAGCUACAAUAGCCUGCGGGGCGAGGCGGAGCCCUGUGGAGCUUGGGUCUGGGAAAACCAGGUGUCCUGGUAUUGGGAGAAAGAGACCACAGAUCUGAGGAUCAAGGAGAAGCUCUUUCUGGAAGCUUUCAAAGCUUUGGGGGGAAAAGGUGAGAUUCCGGUCUGGAGGGGCAAGGGGCCGGGUCCAUGCUCUUGGGCCCCGCUUACCUGUGUUUGGGCGCCCCAGGUCCCUACACUCUGCAGGGCCUGCUGGGCUGUGAACUGGGCCCUGACAACACCUCGGUGCCCACCGCCAAGUUCGCCCUCAACGGCGAGGAGUUCAUGAAUUUCGACCUCAAGCAGGGCACCUGGGGUGGGGACUGGCCCGAGGCCCUGGCUGUCAGUCAGCGGUGGCAGCAGCAGGACAAGGCGGCCAACAAGGAGCUCACCUUCCUGCUGUUCUCCUGCCCGCACCGCCUGCGGGAGCACCUGGAGAGGGGCCGCGGAAACCUGGAGUGGAAGGAGCCCCCCUCCAUGCGCCUGAAGGCCCGACCCAGCAGCCCUGGCUUUUCCGUGCUUACCUGCAGCGCCUUCUCCUUCUACCCUCCGGAGCUGCAACUUCGGUUCCAGCGGAAUGGGCUGGCCGCUGGCACCGGCCAGGGCGACUUCGGCCCCAACAGUGACGGAUCCUUCCACGCCUCAUCGUCACUAAUAGUCAAAAGUGGCGAUGAGCACCACUACUGCUGCGUCGUGCAGCACGCGGGGCUGGCGCAGCCCCUCAGGGUGGAACUGGGUGAGGCCCCGCCCGGUGGUGAUGCUCCUGGUUUCCCGUUGCCUUGUCUCACUGCUGCGCCGUUCCUUCCUGAGUCUGACCUUCUUCCCCACUGCUGCCACCUCCUUGAAUCUGACUGCCUUGAACCUCGCGCCUGUCAGUGCCCCCAAAACCUGAUGGCUUGUCCUUCCCAAGGCCGACUGCCUUCCGUCUCCUGCUGCUUCUGGCCUCACUGAGUCUGAAGAGCUGUUAACUACCAUGGCCAGUCCUCCCUGAGUCUGACCAUCUUCCAUCCUGCUGCUGCUGCUGCUGCUGCUGCAGGUCUUCCUGGAAUCUGACCAUUCGUUGUCUGCUAUGCUCGUCCUCACCAAGACUGACCGCCUGCUGCUUUGCUACCGCCCGGGCCCAUGAGGCUGACUUCCCACUGCUCUGCCUGCCUCUCCCCACUGCACCGGCACAGCCCCGCCCUGCCGCUGCUGAUCCAUUGCCGGUGUGACUAUGGGCAAUGGCCGCUCGUGCUGUGGCUGGUUCUUACAUCCAACUUGGGGGCACUCCCCAGAUCGCCCGCCUGGCCUUGCCUCUGCCCACCAGACACUUGGUGCUGGAAUCUUCGAGGCUGGGAGGGACUGGGACCCCCCCCCCCCAGUUCUGUGUCCUGACUGGGUGGGGUGGAGGGGCUGCUCCACAUCUCACAGCGUUCUCUGGCUGCAGAAUCUCCAGCCGAGACCUCCGUGCUCGUGGUGGGAAUCGUCAUCGGUGUCUUGCUACUCAUGGCAGCGGCUGUAGGAGGAGCUCUGUUGUGGAGAAGGAUGAGGAGUGGGCUGCCAGCCCCUUGGAUCUCCCUUCGUGGAGAUGACACCGGGGCCCUCCUGCCCACCCCGGGGGAGGCCCAGGAUGCUGAUUCGAAGGAUGUAAAUGUGAUUCCAGCCACCGCCUGACCAUCCACCAUUCCGACUACUAAAAGCGAAUGUAGUCAGGCCCCUUUCAUGCUGUGAGACCUCCUGGAACACUGGCAUCUCUGAGCCUCCAGAAGGGGUUCUGGGCCCAGUUGUCCUCCCUCUGGAGCCCCGUCCUGUGGUCUGCCUCAGUUUCCCCUCCUAAUACAUAUGGCUGUUUUCCACCUCAAUAAUAUAACACGAGUUUGGGCCUG
rnacentral:sRNA from 1 species